rnacentral:rRNA from 1 species
GAUGAACGCUGGCGGCGUGCCUAAUACAUGCAAGUCGAGCGAACAGACGAGGAGCUUGCUCCUCUGACGUUAGCGGCGGACGGGUGAGUAACACGUGGAUAACCUACCUAUAAGACUGGGAUAACUUCGGGAAACCGGAGCUAAUACCGGAUAAUAUAUUGAACCGCAUGGUUCAAUAGUGAAAGACGGUUUUGCUGUCACUUAUAGAUGGAUCCGCGCCGCAUUAACUAGUUGGUAAGGUAACGGCUUACCAAGGCAACGAUGCGUAGCCGACCUGAGAGGGUGAUCGGCCACACUAGAACUAGGACACGGUCCAGACUCCUACGGGAGGCAGCAGUAGGGAAUCUUCCGCAAUGGGCGAAAGCCUGGCGGAGCAACGCCGCGUGAGUGAUGAAGGUCUUCGGAUCGUAAAACUCUGUUAUUAGGGAAGAACAAAUGUGUAAGUAACUAUGCACGUCUUGACGGUACCUAAUCAGAAAGCCACGGCUAGCUACGUG